rnacentral:rRNA from 1 species
AAGGAUCAUUAACGAAGUCUGGGUCUCCGGCCCAACCUCUUCUACACACUUGUGCAUCUACCCUGUUGCUUUGGCAGGUCUCCGGCGCAGGGCUGCACCAGCAGCUCGGUGCCGGUCAGGUCGAAAGGCGCCUGCCAAAGACAUUCUAAAUACCACCUUUUUCAUUUGUGUCUGACUAUAUUGUUUUUUACAAACGUAACAAAACUUUCAACAAUGGAUCUCUUGGCUCUGGCAUCGAUGAAGAACGCAGCGAAAUGCGAUAAGUAAUGUGAAUUGCAGAAUUCAGUGAAUCAUCGAAUCUUUGAACGCACAUUGCGCCCUCUGGUAUUCCGGAGGGCAUGCCUGUUUGAGUGUCAUUAACCUCUCCCGUCGACGGUCCCUAGUGGACGGCCGAUGUCGGUGUUGGGAUCUGCGGGUGGUCACCUCGACCGCGCGCUCUCCUCAAAUGCAUUGGUGUGGCCCGCCGCCCGGUCCCACAACGUUCUAGGUACGUCCAACUCGUUGUAUGUCCGGCGCAUAUCCUGGCGCUCCACCUAAAGCCCGGCCGGUGCAUCUCUGCUCCGUGCCAACAACCUCAUUUAUUGACCUCAGAUCAGGUAGGAAUACGCGCUGAACUUAAGCAUAUCAAUAAGCGCAGGAAAAGAAACUAACUAGGAUGCCUUCAGUAACGGCGAGCGAAGCGGGCAUAGCUCAAAUUUGUAAUCUGGCGCCUCUGGCGUCCGAGUUGUAUUUUCUAGAAGCGAGUUCGGCGACAGCCCCGGUCCAAGUCCGUUGGAACACGGCGUCAUGGAGGGUGAGAAUCCCGUGUCUGGCUGGGUGUCUGCUGCUAUGUGAACCGCCUUCGAAGAGUCGAGUUGUUUGGGAAUGCAGCUCUAAAUGGGAGGUAAAUUUCUUCUAAAGCUAAAUAUUGGCCAGAGACCGAUAGCGAACAAGUAGAGUGAUCGAAAGAUGAAAAGAACUUUGAAAAGAGAGUUAAACAGUACGUGAAAUUGUUGAAAGGGAAGCGCUUGAGAUCAGACUUCCUGCCGGUUCUGUCCCAUGCUACUUAGCAAGGAGUCCAGUCCGGUGUGGAGGCCAGCAUCAGUUUUGACGGCCGGAUAAAGGUUCGGGGAAGGUAGCUCUCCUCGGAGAGUGUUAUAGCCCCGGGCGUAAUACGGCCAGUUGGGACUGAGGACCGCGGCUCUGCCUAGGAUGCUGGCGUAAUGGUCUUAAGCGACC